UUCGCAAUGCCCGAAAGGGUGAACGAGCGACGCCGCGUGCGGGAUGAAGGCCUUCGGGUUGUAAACUCCUGUCGAGGGGGAGGAAGGGGCAACCUUGACCGAUCCCUGGAGGAAGCACGGGCUAAGUUCGUGCCAGCAGCCGCGGUAAGACGAACCGUGCGAACGUUAUUCGGAAUCACUGGGCUUAAAGCGCGUGUAGGCGGAUGGGAACGUCGGUCUUUGAAAGCCCCCGGCUCAACCGGGGAACGGGCCGGGAUACGACCGGACUGGAGGGAGGUAGGGGCAUGUGGAACUUCCGGUGGAGCGGUGAAAUGCGUUGAUAUCGGAAGGAACGCCGGUGGCGAAAGCGACGUGCUGGACCUCUUCUGACGCUGAGGCGCGAAAGCUAGGGGAGCGAACGGGAUUAGAUACCCCGGUAGUCCUAGCCCUAAACGAUGGGCACUAAGUAGAGGGGUUUU
rnacentral:rRNA from 1 species